UACGUAGGCAGCGAGCGUUGUUCGGAGUUACUGGGCGUAAAGGGUGUGUAGGCGGUUUUCUAAGUUUGGUGUGAAAUCUCCCGGCUCAACCGGGAGGGUGCGCCGAAAACUGGGAGACUAGAGUGCGGGAUGGGAGAGUAGAAUUCCUGGUGUAGCGGUGAAAUGCGUAGAUAUCAGGAGGAAUACCGGUGGUGUAGACGGCUCUCUGGACCGCCACUGACGCUGAGACAGAAAGCGUGGGUAGCAAACAGG
rnacentral:rRNA from 1 species